AUUGUGCUCCCUUCGUUCAAAAAUACUUGUCAUCAAAAUGGAUAAAAAGAUAUGUAUCUAGAACCAAAAUACAUCUAGAUACAUCCCCUUUUAUCCAUUUUGAUGACAAGUAUUUACGGACGAAGGGAGUACUAA
rfam:Triticum urartu cultivar G1812 contig136621, whole genome shotgun sequence.